rnacentral:rRNA from 1 species
UGGGGAAUAUUGGACAAUGGGGGCAACCCUGAUCCAGCAAUGCCGCGUGUGUGAAGAAGGCCUGCGGGUUGUAAAGCACUUUAAGUGGGGAGGAGGGGACUGAGUGUGAAUAGCGCUUGGUCUUGACGUUACCCACAGAAUAAGCACCGGCUAACUCCGUGCCAGCAGCCGCGGUAAUACGGAGGGUGCGAGCGUUAAUCGGAAUUACUGGGCGUAAAGCGCGUGUAGGCGGCGCGUUAAGUCAGAUGUGAAAGCCCCGGGCUCAACCUGGGAAUGGCAUUUGAUACUGGCGGGCUAGAAUGCGGUAGAGGGAGGUGGAAUUCCCGGUGUAGCGGUGAAAUGCGUAGAUAUCGGGAAGAACACCGAUGGCGAAGGCAGCCUCCUGGGCCGACAUUGACGCUGAGACGCGAAAGCGUGGGGAGCAAACAGGAUUAGAUACCCCCGUAGUCC